rnacentral:misc_RNA from 1 species
AGAAGGGGUUCUUUUUAUGUACUUUUUAAAUUAAUAAUCUUCAGUUUCCAGUACCAAUUAAAUAUGGUUAUUCUGUAUAUCCUACAUCUCAAGAAGUUUUUGCUUUGUUUUUACCAUGCCUCUGUUUUGGUUAAAUGUAUUCCAAUAUUUCCAUAUUUCUUUGUAUCGUAUGUUUCAAAUAAAAUCUUUAAAUGUUCUGAAAAA